rnacentral:rRNA from 1 species
UACGUAGGCAGCAAGCGUUGUUCGGAGUUACUGGGCGUAAAGGGUGUGUAGGCGGUUGUUUAAGUUUUGUGUGAAAUCUCCCGGCUCAACUGGGAUAGGCCCUUUGAUACUGCCAGCCUUGAGAUGCCUAGAGGAGAGUGGAAUUCCCGGUGUAGUGGUGGAAUGCGUAGAUAUCGGGAGGAACACCAGUGGCGAAAGCGGCUCUCUGGGGGCGAUCUGACGCUGAUGCGCGAAAGCUAGGGGAGCAAACGGG